rnacentral:rRNA from 1 species
AUGAACGCUGGCGGCGUGCCUAAUACCUGCAAGUCGCGCGAACGGACGAGAAGCUUGCUUCUCUGAUGUUAGCGGCGGACGGGUGAGUAACACGUGGAUAACCUACCUAUAAGACUGGGAUAACUUCGGGAAACCGGAGCUAAUACCGGAUGAUAUUUUGAACCGCAUGGUUCCAAAGUGAAAGACGGUCUUGCUGUCACUUAUAGAUGGAUCCGCGCUGCAUUAGCUAGUUGGUAAGGUAACGGCUUACCAAGGCAACGAUGCAUAGCCGACCUGAGAGGGUGAUCGGCCACACUGGAGCUGAGACACGGUCCAGACUCCUACGGGAGGCAGCAGUAGGGAAUCUUCCGCAAUGGGCGAAAGCCUGACGGAGCAACGCCGCGUGAGUGAUGAAGGUCUUCGGAUCGUAAAACUCUGUUAUUAGGGAAGAACAUAUGUGUAAGUAACUGUGCACAUCUUGACGGUACCUAAUCAGAAAGCCACGGCUAACUACGUG